rnacentral:pre_miRNA from 1 species
CUACUACUCCCUCCGUUCGGAAUUACUUGUCUCGGAAAUGGAUGUAUCUAGAACUAAAAUACGUCUAGAUACAUCCAUUUCUACGACAAGUAAUUCCGAACGGAGGGAGUAGUUC